AAAACAGCAGAGCAGGUGUCCAUGAGGAAGCCGCUGAGGUGCAUGGGCAGUGUUGGAGACAGAUGCCGAGUGCUGGCAGACAUCGUCCUAUGUUGCUGAGCCUGCCAAUCUGCAGAAGGUUGAAAAUCCACGUGAAGAUGAUGUCAUCAUCUACUUCUGAGACAGAAGCUGUCUGACAGGAACUCCCUCAACUUUCCUCUGCUAUCCUGUGCACCUGCUGACACCCACGUCUCUCCCACCAUAUCAUCUUUUAGUGACAGGGUCCAUCUCUCCACUCAGCAAUAAACACCAACUCAACAGAAACUACUCACAAGUUAUAUUCUUGGGUCUUCUGGCCUAUUGAGCAAGCUCCUUGUUGGAUGGACUCAUCAUACCGCAUUCCUUUCUUGGUCAAUGAACUCCCGUCGGUCUGCCUUCUCUACUAACAUGUCACUCCCUUCCAAAUCUGUUGUCAUGUUCACCUGGAAGUAAGCGGGGACAGGCCAUCAGUAGAAGUGAGGGAGUGUUUUUCCUACCUUUAGCCUCCACAAAGGAUAAGCUACCUGGCUCCAAGCAGACUGUUCCCAGAGGAUCCUCCUUUCACAUCAGGCCACCUGUUUCCAAGGGGAUCUUCCUGUAAACUUGCUUCCGUGAGGACCCUGCUCUUACACUUGCCUACCUGUUUCUACAAGAUGAGAGAUGUGGUAUGUGCCAACACCACCCACCUACUUCUACUAAACCAUCUGAUUCCAGUAUUGACUUACUUAGAACUGCAAGUGUUCUUUAGUCUCCUCACAUUUUCAAGUCUACAAGAGGGUUUGGCUGAAACAUCUCUUAAAUUGCUUUCAGACAUUUGGCAAAGUGAGAACUGAUACAACAAAAGCUAGACAUUUCCCUCUCUCCCUAUUGGUUUGAGAGGUUGGCUUCGAAGGCUGCUUCACCACACAAUGAAUGCUAUACACUGCUAGCUGAGGGCUGUAGACCUGUGAAGUUCCUCCAAAUCUGCACUCCAAGUUAAGAACACAAAUGUCCUGCUCAGCUAUUCAUGAAGCACAAGAAACAUCAUGCAAUUGUUGACCACUGCUGUUGUCUGCAGCAAGGAGCAUCUGGCUGCCACAUCUGCAUUCCUGAUAUUCAGAACAGAGUCGUUAAGGCUGAGUCUAAGUAUCUUUUAGUUUGGAGUACAACUUGAAAAAUAAAACUUUUUAAAACCAUAGC
rnacentral:lncRNA from 1 species